GAAACCGGGGCUAAUACCGGAUAAUACUGACCACCACAUGGUGGAAAGUUGAAAGAUGGCUUCUAGCUAUCACUUACAGAUGGGCCCGCGGCGCAUUAGCUAGUUGGUGAGGUAAGGGCUCACCAAGGCGACGAUGCGUAGCCGACCUGAGAGGGUGAUCGGCCACACUGGGACUGAGACACGGCCCAGACUCCUACGGGAGGCAGCAGUAGGGAAUCUUCGGCAAUGGGCGAAAGCCUGACCGAGCAACGCCGCGUGAGCGAUGAAGGCCUUCGGGUCGUAAAGCUCUGUUGUUAGGGAAGAACAAGUACCGUUCGAAUAGGGCGGUACCUUGACGGUACCUAACCAGAAAGCCACGGCUAACUACGUGCCAGCAGCCGCGGUAAUACGUAGGUGGCAAGCGUUGUCCGGAAUUAUUGGGCGUAAAGCGCGCGCAGGCGGUCUCUUAAGUCUGAUGUGAAAGCCCACGGCUCAACCGUGGAGGGCCAUUGGAAACUGGGGGACUUGAGUACUGGAGAGGAGAGUGGAAUUCCAUGUGUAGCGGUGAAAUGCGUAAAUAUAU
rnacentral:rRNA from 1 species